CUGGGCAGUGCAGCCUUAUUCCGUCCUCCAUGCUGCAAAUUUUUCAAGCCUCUCUCCUGUGUCCCAAAGGCUAUCGCAGAUAAGGCAGC